rnacentral:tRNA from 1 species
GGGGCCAUCGUCCAACUGGGAGGACACGAGGCUGGCAGUCUCGGAAUCGGGGUUCGAGUCCCCGUGGUUCCACUA